GCUCUCAAACAACACGCCAGUGAGGAAAAGUUAUGCCAAAAAUUGUUUUGUUCGGGUAUAAAAACUACGACUUGGUCAACAAAAAACGAAUUACAGUAUGCAAAGCAUGCAGUUCGUUCGAAGAUUACAGACGGAGACGCAACAACUUCCAACUUCGUUCGACAUUUGAAGUUGCACAAAGAAGGCAGGUAGGGAAGAUGGUUAGAGUUGAUGGGAAAAUGGAUGGAAACAAACACAAGGCAAUCUUGGGAGAAAACCCGUUGGAGUCUGCAAAAGUCUUGACUGAGUCCUCCUUACAACAGGACAACAACCCUAAACAUUAAGACUUCAAGCCUGCACUACAAGACAUGCUUGCACUAUUAGAACAUCCAUGAUUGAUUGGUUGUGUCACCACCUGCUGCCACCUUGUGGUUCGUAUUCAUUUUUCCUCUGUUGGUGCAGUUGACCUUGUUGACCUUCACUUCAUUUCUCUUUCCCCGAGAGUUCCUGUUUCCCCAUUGUGGGCGGUGUUGUGAGACGUGCACAGCUGCUUCCCAUUUACACCCGCAUUAUAUUUAAGCAGCACCUUGGCAGCUGGAUGGCACUUGGUGAUUCCACUCCUUGGCUCUCCAAUCCUGACGACUUCCAUGUUUUGUGUUUCGUACUGCCUGUUAUGGUGGCCGCUCCUGGUCCCAUCCCGCUUGGUGUCUACGUCAGCAGUUGCACGUCUUGCAACUCCAACCCAAGUUUGUUCUAGUUUUAUAUAAUAGUUUUUGUUUUUUCCACGGUGCCCAUUUUGAGUUCUCCUUUUUGCAUCGUCGCCUUUUGUUCUCUCCUGUGAGGAGCACCUUUUUGUGAGUACGCUACCCAAGUAAAGAGCUGUUCGACUCACCUCUUGUCUGUUUGCAUCUUUGGGUUCCUCUUAAAAUGUGUUAUACCAAGCCGUGACAGAAUCACCAAGUCAUUAUGGAACCCGCAGACGAAGAUCCUGUUCGACGGGCUCUCAGGGCUCAUGGCCAGCAAAUAAGCCAUCAUGAACAGAGUUUGGCUAACCUGACAACACUGGUGCAAGAACUGCACACCCGCAUGUUUGUCCUUCACACCCUCCCAGGCUCGGAGGUAGCUCAACCUGCAGCUGGAAACUCUGGUUCCUCCGACGCCUCGACAUCGGGUUUUUGUACCCGAGAACCCAGCAUACCACACCAACCCAGGUAUGUGGGGGACUUUGGAAAAUGCAGACUUUUUUUAUACCAGUGCUCUUUAGCAUUUGCACAGUAGCCUCACUCGUACUCAUCGGACCCCGCCUGUGUGGCAUAUAUACUCAGUCUACUGGCUGGAAGAGCAGCACGCUGGGCUAUGGAGAUAUGUGAGAGCAAACCGGAACUUCGUUCCAGUCCACCCCUGUUUUCUGCUGAGCUGCGCAGCAUUUUUGACCACCGUGUGAGGGAAGGAGAGGCAGGCAGCCGCCUCCUCGCUACUCGCCAGGGGUCCUCCUCCGUAGCCGACCAUUCAAUCUCCUUCCGGAUCCUGGCAGUGGAGAGUGG